rnacentral:lncRNA from 1 species
AGAGAGUGAUGCGUUCAUUUACAUCGACUUAGCGCAGGAGCAAGAGAACGGUAUGGUCGUCGAUCUAGUGCAUAAUUUACACCGACUUCCCGGAAACAAAACGAACAACAACAGAGGGUAAAGUAAGAAGGUCGUUACACCCUGCAGGUUUAGUUCUUUCUCUGAUGGGCCGGCCCGCUACACUUUGCAGCCCAUAUAUUUGAGAAAUCUUGGUUGAUCUCAAAGUUCACUUCACUUUAUAUAUCGAGCAUUUCUUGCACCUCCUGUCGCCUCCCUCUCCAUACUUCUCCAGAAAGCCAGUAGAUCAUAAAACUGCAUGCACAUGAUCAGUAAGAAAGCACGGAAUGACAGCAAAUUUAUCGCUGUAAAAGUGUUAAAAUACGGUUACAUACAAACGCUCACCGUUCUGUAGUAGCUGCCUGUGUCCACGAAGAAAACCCGGCGUUGUUCGUCGUCGUCGCCAGGAUCGCUGAACCCUUCAUCGAAGGAACUGGAUCCCAGGCCGUGUUCUUGCUCUGG